ACGUCAAGUCAUCAUGGCCCUUACGUGUAGGGCUACACACGUGCUACAAUGGCGCAUACAGAGUGCUGCGAGCCUGCGAGGGUGAGCGAAUCACUUAAAGUGCGUCGUAGUCCGGAUUGGAGUCUGCAACUCGACUCCAUGAAGUCGGAAUCGCUAGUAAUCGCGAAUCAGAAUGUCGCGGUGAAUACGUUCCCGGGCCUUGUACACACCGCCCGUCACACCAUGGGAGUGGGUUGCUCCAGAAGUGGUUAGCCUAACCUUCGGGAGGGCGAUCACCACGGAGUGAUUCAUGACUGGGGUGAAGUCGUAACAAGGUAGCCCUAGGGGAACCUGGGGCUGGAUCACCUCCUUAUACGA
rnacentral:rRNA from 1 species